AGAAGCCCAAACGAAACGACACCCAACCAAAUCCUCCCUCCCAAGCCGCCGCCGCCGCCGCCGCCGAUGCCUCGUCCGCCUCCGCCUCCACCUCCAUGCGACGGCCCCGCCCGCGGUCUUCUCCCCCAGCUCGUCUCGUCUCCUCUCCUCUCCGGUCACCGCGCCGCCGUGCUUGAGCUGCGGCGAGCGGCAGAGGUCCGCCGCCGGCUGGCUCAAGCUCCAUCCUUGUCCACAAUCAAGCACCCCCACCGCCACCGCGCCCUCCUGGCCGCCUGCCCACGGCGCCGCAAGUCAAGUCCGCAGGAUCCCCUCCAAAAGCGUCGGAUUCGGAUGUGCAGUUUGAUGAGACGAUCCCAUCUCCAUCUCAUCUUCUCGUGUCAAGGACGCCAUGGAAGAGGUUUCGCUUCUCUUCAUUCAUGAGCAGGAUCAGGAUCAGGAUCUUUCUUGAACAAACUUAAUUAUUGGCAUGCAGAUUCAUGAAUCAAUUUAAUUUUUGUUUGUGCUGUAGGCAGCGUCAUCCCAUCUCAUCUGCUUGUGUGAAGGACAGGGGCCCUGGAGGAGCUGCUCCCCUGCGGGUUCAGUGGCUGCUCCGACACUGACGGCAUGGAAGGUCCUCGCUUGCCCUUACCUCUCCCUGUUCGGUUCCGUUCAUGAGCAGAUUUAAUUUUUGGCAGAUUCACGAAUCAAUUUUGUCCCACAAGUUGGAGCUUUAUGUGGUUGCGACUAGGGAUUAUUGUAAUGCUAUUCGCUUUCACUGGAUGGACGUGUGAAUGAAAUUACAUGUGUUAGUCAAAUGAACAAAUUAGAUGACCCCCCAUGCCUACAAGCCUUCUUGGAUUAAAAUUAAAUGGUUUAUUGAUGUCUAGUUUCUGCAUGUUCUGGUUGGUUGUGAAACACAUGCGGUUUUUCUAGGCCGAUUCAGUUUUUUGGUUCUGUCUUGUUCUAGCCUUCUAGGUCGAUUCAGUUUUUCAUUUUCUCUCUUUAUGAUUUAAACACGAACUGCAGAUCCAGUAUCUGUUUGAUCAUCCAUGUGCCAUAUAUAUGGAGCUGUCUGUAGCAUUUGAUCACUACUACUACUAGUUGCAGCAACUAGUAGUGCCUUAACAAUGGGCUCUCUCUGGAAAACAAGUCUUCUUGAGGAGAAAUCUAACUGUACUAAGUACCAGCACAUGUUAUCAGAAUGGUAGCUUGUAUUGCUGCAGAGCCCAUUUCUAUCCUGGAAAGCAUGGAUUCUGUAGGAUAUGUAAAAUGGGACGUCAAACCUGAGAACUUUCAUCUCAGCCAGCCUGGAACUCCUCAAGAAAAGAAACCUUUUCUUGUAGAUCUUGGAUUAGAGGUGAUCGUUGUUGUGAUGAAGCUGCAGUGGUGGCGUAGGAAAUUUAGCUUAUUUUUUGAGGUCACCUAAUCUUCUACAACCUUGGCAAUGGCGGCUGCCUCUUCUUGGUUCAGAGGUGAUCGUUGUUGUGAUGAAGCUGCAGAGGUGGCAUAGGUUGAGGGAACUUGGUAAGCUCAAGGGACACGUCGAAGUUGGUUUGUCAACUGAAAGGCGCUCGACAUCGAGACUGUCCAGCAGUUUGUACACGGUGGGAUGAUAUGGGCUUACAUGACUGCCUCUUCAGCUACAACUACUUGGGAAUUUUAGCUUAUUCUUUGAGGUUGCCAUAUCUUCGACAACCUCGGCGAUGGCGCCACCUCUUCUUGGUUCAGGUUGAGGGAACUUGAUAAGCUCAAGGGACAUGUGGAAUUUGGUUUGCCAACUAGAAGGCGCUCGGCAUCGAGACGGUCCAGCAGUCCGUACACGGUGUGAUGAUAAAACUUCCAUGAAUGCAUCAGCUACAACUACUUGGAUGCGAUCGUUGUUGUGAUAAAGCUGCAGUGGUGGUGUAGGUUAUUCUUUGAGGUCUCCUAAUCUUCUACAACCUCGGCAGUGGUGGCUGCCUCUUCUUGGUUCAGGUUGAGGGAACUUGGUAAGCUCAAGGGACACGUGGAAGUUGAUUUGUCAACUAGAAGGCGCUCGACAUCGAGACCGUCCAGCAGUCUGUACACGGUGGGAUGAUAUGGGCUUACAUGACUGCCUCCUCAGCUACAACUACUUGGGUAAUUUAGCUUAUUCUCUGAGGUAGCCUAAUCUUCUACAACCUCGGCAGUGGUGGCCACCUCUUCUUGGUUCAGGAAAUUCAGGUUAUUCUUUGAGGUCUAAUCUUCUACAACCUCGGCAGUGGUGGCUGCCUCUUCUUGGUUCAGGUUGGCCCUGCCAACGCACGGGCGAGCCAAAAAAUUGGCAUUGCUUUUCUGCGCCUGCGUCUUGCCGUCGCGUUGGCAAGAAAUUGAACCGGAGACCCGAGGGCAGCAUUGACAACGCAUGGGCUUUGAUCCAAACACUGCUGGGGCAGUUGGUCAACGCCAAUUAUUUGGCUUGGCAGGCUGGGGCUUCGAACCAAACUGGCUCAUAGUGACUAUUCAUCAUGGUUAUACUACUGUUGGAGGUGUGAUUCUACGGAUAUGCUUCUUGGCAAUUGAUUAUAGGAAUACGAUGGCUUGACUGAUUGUAACUUGCCAUGGAGCAUAUUUUAGGAGAGCAUCAUGAGAUAAUCUUGGUUUCUAGUUGGUACUGUCAACCAGGCGAAGUUUUGUUUUAUAGGCCUUUUGCCACCAGGGCAUUGACGUGUGUGGUGUUGUUUUGGUGUUGUGCAAUGUGUGUAUUAUUCCGUUCUUAGAUGGCGAGGGAUAAAGUCGUAUUGUUGAAUGGGUCCCAGAACACAUACAACUAUUGUUUUCAAUUUGGUUUUGUCCAUAAUUAAUAUGAUUUGCUUAAACCAUAGAUGUGUUGAAGUAGCUCCAAGUGUAUGGGUCGUGCAUAGUGUUGAUCUACCUUAACACAUAUUUACAUUCUUUAGAGCAAUGGACCUUGGCUCACCUGUACAUAUUUAUUUUGUCAGCAUGCACCUCUUGUUGUUGACGCAUUAGA